GACGAACGCUGGCGGCGUGCCUAAUACAUGCAAGUAGAACGCUGAAGGAGGAGCUUGCUCUUCUGGAUGAGUUGCGAACGGGUGAGUAACGCGUAGGUAACCUGCCUGGUAGCGGGGGAUAACUAUUGGAAACGAUAGCUAAUACCGCAUAACAGUAGAUGUUGCAUGACAUUUACUUAAAAGGUGCAAUUGCAUCACUACCAGAUGGACCUGCGUUGUAUUAGCUAGUUGGUGGGGUAACGGCUCACCAAGGCGACGAUACAUAGCCGACCUGAGAGGGUGAUCGGCCACACUGGGACUGAGACACGGCCCAGACUCCUACGGGAGGCAGCAGUAGGGAAUCUUCGGCAAUGGACGGAAGUCUGACCGAGCAACGCCGCGUGAGAGAAGAAGGUUUUCGGAUCGUAAAGCUCUGUUGAAAGAGAAGAACGAGUGUGAGAGUGGAAAGUUCACACUGUGACGGUAUCUUACCAGAAAGGGACGGCUAACUACGUG
rnacentral:rRNA from 1 species